ACGCUUUUUCCUAUAUUGUGCAAACACGACCACCACUGAUGGAUUGCAGGGUGGUCUGUAACCAUGGAAACGAGCAGUGUAUAAUGUGAUGGGAAAAUAAUCCAGCCAGGAAAGGAAGUAAUUUGGAGAAUAACAAUACAUUAGUAAGUGGCUUGUGUUAACUUUUUCUACAUGAUGAAUGUAAUUUGCUGAAAGGACACAACCCC